rnacentral:rRNA from 1 species
UACGGAGGGUGCGAGCGUUGUCCGGAGUUACUGGGCGUAAAGGGCGCGCAGGCGGUCUGGCAAGUUUGGAGUGACAGUGCUCGGCUUAACUGAGCAAGGCCUUCGAAAACUGCUAGACUUGAGCACUCAAGAGGGACAUAGAAUUCCGGGUGGAGUGGUGAAAUGCGUAGAUAUCCGGAGGAAUACCAAAGGCGAAGGCAGUGUCCUGGGGAGUGUCUGACGCUCAGGCGCGAAAGCUAGGGGAGCGAACAGG